CCAUUAGUGUUACUAGCUCAGUUGGUACAGCAUGAGACUCUUAAUCUCAGGGUUGUGGGUUCAAGCCCCAGGGUUGUGGG